rnacentral:lncRNA from 1 species
UUCGUUUCUGCAUUUCCAUGUCAUGAUUUUCGACUUUCAUGCUUAUCUUGAUGCUUGCAUUGCCAACAAGGGGUAGAGAUUUCACACAAACUCAUUCUUUUGUCGAGGGGGAAGUUUUUUCAUGCACUUGUUCAGGGGGAGUCCUGAUUUCAGGGAGUUUUUAUGCUCUUGUGCUCAUUUGCUCUUUUGCCGGUCGCGUUGAGCUGUUGUACC